rnacentral:rRNA from 1 species
UGCGCAGGCGGCCAAGUGUGUGAGGCGUGAAAGCCUGGAGCUUAACUCCAGAAUUGCACCUCAAACUACAUGGCUAGAGCAUUGGAGAGGGUAGCGGAAUUCACGGUGUAGCAGUGAAAUGCGUAGAUAUCGUGAGGAACACCAGAGGCGAAGGCGGCUACCUGGACAAUUGCUGACGCUCAGGCACGAAAGCGUGGGGAGCAAAAGGGAUUAGAUACCCCUGUAGUCCACGCCCUAAACGGUGCACACUAGGUCUUGGCGGAUUCGACCCCCCCAGGGCCCAAGCUAACGCGUUAAGUGUGCCGCCUGAGGACUACGGCCGCAAGGCUAAA